UCUUCGUUUGGUCGUUGAAGGGUUCGGACGUGUUUUUCGAAGCUCUCGACGUCGUGACCUAAUUAUAAUUUGAACUGCGCGGGUAAAGAACGCUCAUUUGCGGCUUGGACAUUGACCAAUACGGACGUGUUUUUAAAGCGCUCUGAAAAAAGUUUUGACUUUUAAAUUUUUUUUACUACGACAGAAUCUUAGUUGACUGAUGGUCUUUGACAAAGACAGACUUGUUUUUGUGAGCUCUGAACAAAAUUUGACUUUGAAAUAUUUUUACGAUUAAAAAGUUUCAGUUGACUUUUGAACGUUGACGAAGACGGACGUACUUUCGUGAGCUCUGACUAUUGAUGAAAAGUUUUCGCGUUAUAGAAUAGCGACUUGGUACUCAGGUUGUUGAAUGACUGGAUGACUGAAGUGUUAGGUUAUUGUUAUGAGAUAACAACUUGACUUUGACUUGAGUUGUGAAAUGAAAUCAUACUCUUAUGCGAUGUUAACUUUUGAACGUUUAGUAUUGACUGACAACGAAAUUUUGUGAGCGUUAUAUAUGAAAUGUUUGACUUACAUUAAUUUUUUUGAACGACUUGACUUCACUUUAAGUUUUGACAUCGGACUGAUCGGACGUGUUUUUUUAAGCUCUGACUGUUGUGAAUAAUUAAAUUUAUGUUGUGGUGUCAAGCGAUUGACUGUCAGUUGAGGUUCAGAUGUCGAGCUGUGCGGACGUGUUCAUCGAGCUGCUGUCUACAAAAAACUGGGCUGUGGUGAGUAUUGCAGAUUUAACUUGUAUGUGUGGUUUUUAGUUAACGAUGCUUAAUGAAAACUGUUAUUGUACACUUAGUAUGGAAUGAUGUGAAUGAUGAUAUGAUGGGUAGAAUUAAUCAGUGCUUGUGUCUAGAAAUGCUGAAUGUUUAUUGAAAAGGCUAAAUGCUAGCCAGUACUAAGAGUUGAGCUACCGUGGGAAUGUGAAACGAACUGAUGGUGUAAUAUGAUGGUGUAUUGACAUACUUUUCUUAUAUGUACUAAAUAUGAUAUUGCUUUACUUGUAUUUGCAUGCUGUUAACAUUUCUAUUUUGUUCCAGUGUGCUGUGGUGAGUACUGUAGAUAUUACUUGAUUUUUAGUGUCUAUGAAUGCUGAUGUAUGAUAGCUAUAGCAUGAGCUCAAUGCUAACCAGUAUUAUGAGUUGAUGUAUUGUGGUGAUGCUAAUCGAACUGAUGAUGUAACAUGAUGGUGAACACUUACUGAAUGCAUAAAAUUUAUUGAAUUGCAUUUGUUGAUAUGCACUAUAAUAUGAUAAAUGUAUUGCUUUACAUGUAUAUUUCAUGAUGUUUAAUUUCAGUGGGCUGUGGUGAGUACUGUAGAUUGUAUUGCCUAUGUAUAGAAUUCAAUAAAAGAUUAUGACUGAAAACUGCUUUUGAUUCUUUUUGAACAGUUUUAGGGACUAUAAGUCUAUAACAAAAAUAUGUCGGUUGGCGUUCAUACAGCAAUGUUUUGAGUAGUACAGAAAUGUUUCUACGUUUGUGGUCGCCAGUUGUCUGUGAUGUGUAAAGUGAAAAAUACACGGAGCUUUGAAUACAACAAACAGUUACUGUUUUAACACAGAUUGUGUGCUAUGCAUUUUUCGAUGUAGAUCUUUUUCAGAUUUGACAUGAAAUGUAGACCUGACAUUUGAACAGAGCUGGGAAACGAAAAGGUAAGUUUGUUAAAUUUCACAAUGAACACUUGUGUUUUGACAAAAGAAGAGAUAAAGUGAGUUUUGUCAUCAUCAUGGUUUCUUUCAGAGUAUAACUCGUGAACAGAUGAAAACCUAUUUUUUGCUAGAUUUUCAUGUACUCUUUUUUUGGAUGAUAAGUAUGUCAGUAACUCAAAAUCAUACGGCUAGUACAGUAUGGAACAUGAAUGCUUUGUUCAGAUUUUCAGAUGUGUGCUGGCAGUUCAAGUCUGGCAGCUGAAGUGAACAGUCGUGUUUUCUGGAGCUCCAACAAUAUGCUAGAAGGUAAGUAACUAUGUUUGUUUUGCAUUGCAUGUUUUUAUAUGUUUCAGACUUUCAAGCAGAGAUGUCAUGCUGACUGGAGUUGAGCACAGGGCAGUGACAAAGUGAAAGGUAAGUACUUUUGACUGAAUGUUUGUUCUAUGCAUGUUUUGUUUUAAUACAUUUCAGGAGUGCUUAUCCAGUGAUGAUAUGACAGUUGGAGUGAACAGUGGAGCCAAGCAGUCUUGUUUUUAGAGCUACUCAACAAGCCUUGAAGAUGCUGAUGGCAGUGAUGGGUUUUCAAGCUGACCUGAACAGAAAAGCACUCAUAUGGUAAGUACAAAAUAGUUGUUAUAUGGGAUGUUUUGUGCAUGCUUUUAUGUUUCAGGUGUACUUGCUGACAGCGACGAAGACGAAUCAAGAAGAGGAACAUUGUUGAGAAAGUGAUUGGGACUUGCAAACAGGGUAAGUGUAACACUUGUGUUUGUUUAAUUUGUAACAUGCGUGCUUUGCUCUGUUUCAGAUUUCACAUGCAGAAAUUAAACAGGAUUUCAACUGCUGAGACACAAUUCAUCAAAAGUAAGGUAAGUUUUAAUUCAUUGAUUUGAGUUGUACAAUGUGUUCUUUACUUUAUUUCAGAUUCGAGUCACUGGUUUACACAUGGAAGAAGAUUUCCACGUCUGUUACUCAACUCUACAGAAGCAAGGUAAGUCGAUCAAAUUUUUGUUUUCAUUGACUGCUGUAAUGUGAUGUUAUGCUAUUUUUUAUGUGUGCUAUGCAGAGAUGGAGAAUUCAAUUUUAAGAAAGAUUAACUGCUGCAGAUUAGCUCUGCUCUGUGUUGAUUUUUGUUCAAAAACGUUUAAAAUGUAUGUGUGUUUUCAGAUGUUUUGUUUCAGUUGAUGUCCAGAUGGCAAGCAGUACAGACGUGUUUCUUGGAGCUGCCAAACAGUGAGUACAAACGUUUUAUAUUUUUCAGUUGUUUACUCAUAGAAGUCUGUGAAAGAUGAUAACAAGGGUUGAAUCUAUCAGCACUUGUGUCUAAAAAUGCUGAUGUGUGACGGUUUACUGAAAAGGGUAAAUGCUAGCCAGUACUUACACUUGAGCAACCGUGGGAUGUCGAACUAACUGAUGAUGUACUAUGAUGGUGAACACUUACUAUGUGUAUCAAAAUGCUUUUGUUGAUAUUUACUAUAGAUGAUUUGAUAUUGGUUAACAUUUGUUUGCAUGCUGUUAACAUUUCUAUUUCAUUUCAGGGAGCUGUGGUGAGUAUUGUAGUAUACAUUUGUUUCAAUAAACCAUGAUUAAUGAAAACUGAUUUCGAUUCUUUUUUACAGUUUUAGGGAUUAUCACUCUAUAACAACUCUGUCGGUUGGUGUUCGUGAAUGUGAGCUUAAUGUUUGAGUAGUACAAAAAUGUCUUUACUUUUGUGAUCGCCAGUUGUCUGUGAUUUAAAGUGAAAAAUACACAGAGCUAUGAAGCAUACACUUGUUUCAAUAUUUUAUCAAUGAUUCAUCAAUGAUAGUGUGCUAUGCAUGUUUUGAUUUAGUUCGUUUCAGGUAUGACAUGACAUGAAGAGUUGACAGUCGAACAGAGCUGAGCAACGCAGAAAGGUAAGUGUGUUUCAUUUUAGUAUGAACACUUGUAUUUUGUUUUUAUAUGGUAUGUUUUGUGCAUGCUAUGUUUCAGGUGUACUUGUAGUCAGCGACGAAGACGAUUCAAGAAGAGGAACAUUGCUGAGAAAGUGAAUGGGACAUGCAAACAGGGUAAGUGUUACAAUUGUUGGUUUGAUUUUUACCAUGCAUACUUUGCUUUACUCUGUUUCAGAUUUCACAUGCAGAAAUGGUCUCAUAGCAGUGCCAACAGUGAAUAAGGAUUUCAUCUGCUGUGAAACAACUCAACAGAAAGUAGGUAAGCAUUGAAUGAAUGCACUUGAGCUGUACAAUUUGAUGUGAUGCUUUUCUCUGUUUCAGAUUCAAGUUCCUGGUGUAGACAGAGAAAUGUGUUUGAAGAAGGAAUUCUACUACUGUGAUUCAACUCUACAGAAGCAAGGUAAGUAGAAACAAAAUUUUGGUUUAAUUUAACUCAUGUGUUUUGCACUGCAUGCUAUUUUUCAGGUCUCUCAUGCAGUGAGGGAAAAGAAGAAGAUUUCAAGAAAAAAUCACUGCUGCAACUCAGGCCGAUAACAAGGUAAGCGUUUACUAUAUUGUAUACAAAAUGUUUUUCUGUUUUACUCUGUUUCAGGUUUCAAUUGCAGAGAUGUUGCAGAGAUGAUUUGACAGCUUGUGGCAGAAAAGAAAUUCAGCAUCUGUUUCUCGACUCUAGCCACGAGGUAAGUCAAAACAAAUAUACUGGUUUGUAUGUAAUGUUGUUAUGCCCUUCUAUGUUUCAGACUUACAUUGCUGUGACUGUUCCACAGUGGGUCAAAAAAGAGACGAAUACAGGUUUCAAGAAGAAAAUUGGCUGUUAAAAACCUGCACAAAAUAUGAGGUAAGUAAACUACUCUUUUGGUUUGUUUUGUGCUUUGUUAUGCUUAACUAUUUUUCAGAUUGGAAUGGUGGGUCGUUACAGAGCAGACUUUUGGACUACUGAGAAGUUGAGAAACAGAGAAUGAUUCAAGAUCAGCUAGGUAAGUCUUGAUUAUUAUGCAUUGCUAAAUGUUUUUUUCAUUCCAGUAUGGCUGUGGUAAGUACACAAACUUUCUAUAAUUUAAUAUUGAACUGUUUUUAUGACCUGUAUUCUGCAUUGUAAAAUGUCUGUUUUUCAUUUCAGUAUCCUGUGGUAAGUACACUAACUUUGUAUAAUUUCAUAUUGAAAUGUUUUGAUGACUUGUAUCCUGCUAUGCAAUGCUUAAUAUAUUUUUCAUUUCAGUGUGGCUGUGGUAAGUACAAUUGCCUUCUUUAAUUUUCAUAUUGAACUGUUUUGAUGAUUUGUAUACUGCUAUGCAAUGCUUAUUGUUUUUUACAUUUCAGUGUGGCUGUGGUAAGUACAAUUGCCUUUCAUAUUGAACUGUUUUGAUGACCUGUAUUUUGCAUUGUAAAAUGUGUUUCUUUUUCAUUUCAGUAUGGCUGUGGUAAGUACACAAACUUUCUUUAAUUUUCAUAUUGAACUGUUUUGAUGACUUGUAUUCUGCUAUACAAAAUGUGCUUUUUUCAAUUUCAGGUCAGCAAUGGUAAGUAUAGUGUGUUUUUUUAUGUAUAAUUUUGUAUACAUAUUGUUUUUUUUCAUCAUAGCAUGUAUUUUAUAUUUAUGCUUUGUGUAAGUAAAAUGUUCAUAAAUCAUUCUUAUCUUCAAACUAAAAAUGUAUUGUGCUAUGCAAAAUGUCUGUAUGAUUUCAGUUGCCAGAGGUGAGUACCAUUACAGUUGAAAAGUUAGUUUUGUUUAGUUAAAGUUUUGGUUCACAGUUCUGUUUGUUAUUUGGCAAAAUUUACAUGUAUGCAUUGAGUCUUGAUUUCAGCUCGAUUGUGGACUGAAGAAGAUUGCCCGCAGAGGGAUUGGAUACAAAAUACAAACUUUACUGCUAGACGAGUGUUCUCUACUACUUGACGAGUCAGCUUUACUACCAGGCGAGCAGUGACAACAAGGCGCCUUUGUGGAAACAACACAACAAAAAACUGUACUGCUAGACGAGCAGUGACAGAAAGGCGCCUGAACAUGCAACACAAAACAAAAAAUGCCAAUAUACAAACCUUGAUGUGAACACCGAGUAGUCAAUGCAUACGUGUGGCGUACAGCUGCGACAAAACCGUGGGUCCAUCGCACCGAUAACUCGAACAUUGGACCGCGUAUGGACAUCAGUGCAACUUUGUGAAUCCAUGUAACUUUGUGAAUCCAUGUAACAUUGCGAAUAUGUGUCGAUCGAAAAAUGUGUACAUUCUGCACUGAAACGAACUCGGUGUUGCAAGUGGCAAGUGUUGACAGUGUGUAUGUUUAUGUUUAUGUUUUUACAUGAAAACUAAAGGAGAUUGUUCUCCUACCUUUUUUUUCCUUGUUUUAUUGCGCUGGCCAGCAAUAUUGAUGUAUGUGUUUGUGUUUAAACUAUGCAAUACCAAAAUCAAACAAAAAUAAACAUUAACAGUCAUUAACUGUG